AAGAAAAAAGGAAAAAAAAAAUUAAAAAAACGAAAAAAAAAAUUAAAAAAAAAAAUUUAAUUAAAUAAAUAAAUAAUAUAAAAAUCUUGGACUUGAACCUCUCUUAUUUGAGCCCACAAAGCCAUGAAAAUCAGGUUAUAAAAAAGGGAGAACAGACAAAAAAAGGAAGAGAAGCAAAAUACUCUGAGGUUUCCUUGAAAUAAAACCCUGGAAAAAACCUGGAGAGAAAUCUAGACAGAGAGAGUGAGAAUUAAUC
rnacentral:lncRNA from 1 species